UUCAUCUACUUCUCCUUCUCGAGGAGCAACAAUGAUUCGAAGUUAACCACACAUCUUCUCAUCUUUUAGUUGAUUUCAGUUGGUCAUGAAGGGAUUUGCUAGGUACAAAUUAGGGGAGGAAAACAUUUCUAGCUAGAUGUCUCAGCAGCCUGGUUUUUCGAGGCAAAUCAGGCUCCAAAGGAAGCUUCUCAAUAAGGAUGUUGAGAAGUCAUUUAGAAGGCAGCUCAGGAAAUGUGAUAGCCAUUUGUAUACGUUUCCGGUUAGUAGCUUUUUUGGUCUCUUUAAACAAUACAUAAAGGGUUAUUAUGGGACUAUGUCGCCGAUUUAGGUAUUGGUAGACAAAUUCGGCCUGACCGAUAUAGCGGUGCAAGACGGCAAGUAAGAGAGGACAUGGAUGACACUGAAAAUAUAGUACUGCUCAUUGGAGAUGAUAAUUUAUCACCGAAAGGAUAGUUUACACAUGGAGAAAGACACAGCAGCAUAGUGCGGAAGAUUCCCAAAAUUGCAUUUGAGUGCAGUUUACAUAGUUUGACCGGAUAAUCUGGAUUAUUAAUAUAAUAAAAUAAAAGGGAAAAGCGCUUUCAACUUGGAUGUCACUACAUGAAACUGGAUAGUAUUGUCCAAUUGGCUACCUGUAGGAGUUGUUUAAGAGAAUAUUUUCUCAACAGGAUAUGUACGUAUGGUGGCCUACAGUAUUUUAACUGGAUGAUUUGGAUUAUUAGUAUAAUAAAACAAAAGUGACUCCCUACUACAGUGAGUAGACAGUAUAUUCUAAAUGUGACCUCAGCUGGAGAAUGAGAAUGGUGUAUUCGUCAUAUAUUACUUGCAAAAAAAUCUUAUCAGAUGAACAAAAUAACUUCGUGGAAAUGCUCAUUCUCCUGAAGUCUGGGUAACAAAGAGAAGAUUGUGCAUCUUCGCCGUCUUUUAAGCAGACAAACAAUGUUCAUAACUAUAUUACUGGAUGUGAUUUUCAUGGGUAGGUUUGAUGUGGUGGUAAAUGGUGAAUUCUCUCUAAGUCUUCACAAUAACAAACGAGAUAAUAGGUAGCAGGAUCCUGUGUGCGACAGAGAUAUGUUACUUCUUGAAAAAGUGGGUACUUACUACCACUGUAUAGGGUUGCGUAUGAUGAUAUCCUGUUAUAACAGCACGACUGCCACAAAGCCAUAGCGUUGGACUUUGUGGCAGUGGAUAGAGCUACUUUUAAGAAGUUAUAUCUAGAGGCAAUCCAAAUCUAUUUGAACCAAUGGAAACUUGAUAAUUGUUGUUGUUGGGGCUUUCGAUGCAAUAGUAAGAUAGGUAUGGUGUAUUCUCACAAACAUAGUCAGGUGUUAACCUUGGUUCCAUCUCUUAAUUGCUUAAUUUCCUCACUAAAUAACGCUAUUUUACGUUUUUAAUUUCUUGAUCUGUUCUAGCAGUUUCAUUAUAUAUAAUUGGGUGGAAACCCUAACUUUGUUUUCACCAUCAUCAAACUAUCAACAUCAGGCUAUUGAAGCGAAAUAUGAAGAAUCCCUGGUGAUUCACGGGUUUUCUUUUUGUGGUACAUAAACGAGAGUUCUCAACCAUGUGAGAAUUUGACUCACUGUUAUGUACUCUUUGCUCUCGGUGUUCUGUUUUCCCCCCCGUAAUACAGUAUCAAUAGGUCCCUAAUAGCGACUAUGUACUUACCAUAUAUUACAUGAAUACCGAAGCUACGGAAUUUGCCAUCUAACACCUGCACCAACUUCUCUAAAAAUAUUUCUCUCAUUGUUGUUUUAUUUUAGGGACAAUCAGAGGUUGAAUUGGAGAUGAGGUCGUAAGAAGCAUUUGAAAUAUAUCCUCUGGCCAAAUUUCAUGGUACGUUAUAGAUGUAUAUCUCUUAUUUGCUGCAUACAGUUCAGUUGACUUGCAAUUUAGAUUAUUCCAUCUUUUAUUUUUAUGUAAUAUUAUGUCAGAGUAUUGUAUGUGACUUGGAUACCUUAUUCGAGUGAACGACUCAGGUGGCAGAGCUCAAUGCGACACUAACAUGAUAUAUUUGAAUCUACCAACUCCAAUGAAGAUCUAUAAUUGUUAUAGUAUAAUGGGUUACACAAUUGAAGUAUUUACUAUUGGAAUUUCUGUUUUGGUUAAUAACAAUUUUUAAUUGAUUUUAAAAUCCACAGACAGAUGUUGUUUGGUUGCAUUUAGUCUCUAGCUAUUAUACUUUACUUGCCCAGCUAUUUUUUGUUUGUAAAAGCAGAAAACUGCAAAACUACAAAGUAAUGGCCUUCAUUUGAGAUAUUCUGUUGUGCACCUAAUUUGGCAUCUUUUUUACAUGGCUUUCAUUGGUACAAUCUGAAAUUUUACACCUUUGAGGCAGAAAUUACAAUCUAAGUUGAACAUUCAUUCAAACUGGAGGUUCAAAUCACUGGGUAACAUCUGAUUUUUUUCUUCUUUGCUCUCUUGCCACCCAUGAGUGGGAAAAAAUAGAUUUACCAAUUCGAUUUUACUUCUUCAUUGGUUUUUCUGAAACUAAAGAUGUGAAUGUUAAAUGCUUUAGUAGUUUUAGUUCAAUUGAAUUGAUGGGUAAAUUUAUUUUUUCGGGGAAUAAAUGUGCCGAAAUGGAUAGUAUGCUUGCUGCUAUAUUCCUUUGAAUAAUGUGAUUGCUGUUGAUAUCAUAUGCAGUCUAGCAUAUCACAGUUUUAUCACUAUGUGAUAAGGUUGUUGGUAUUAAAGCUACAUUAGUGGAGGGAGUCAUGACCCCUAGGUUUUGGUGGUUUCUCUACUUAACUAUGAACAUCUUGGGAAAGAGGUUUAUUAGCGAGUUGCUCUUAACUCAGUUUCAGCCUUUACUCUGAUUGUUUCUUAGUUAUAUACAGGGGUCAUACAUCUAACCUCCCUCUCUUACAUUUUUGUGUUAUAUACCCUUGCAUCUCAUUAUUUUUCAGGCGGAAUCCAAUAUAGCUGUGGAAUACUGAUUACUGAGCAUGAAGAUUCGUGAUUUUCUUAAAUUUAUUAUUAAUAAUAAUGCAAUCUUGAAACACUGUGGUAGUAGUUAUUCUUAUGUAAGAAGAGCUUUACCUUUUAUGACCUCGAGUAGCUGAUAAUUACAGCUCAUAUCCUUGCACGUUUUGCAUUAUUGAUUUGGUUCCCCUUAAUUAGAAUACGUAAGAAACUAUAUGACUCUCAUCUGAAAUUUUCCAUUCGAGAGGCCCAACAGUAGACCUCCAGGAUCAUAUGGUGGAAAAUCCAGUGUUGCUGAAAAGUCGCAGUGAUCCAGAAGCAUGUAUUUUAGUCCAGAUUGAGUUCGUGUUAGAGGCAGGGUCUCCGGCUUUCAAUGCAGUUUCUGCUACGUUGAAGAGCUCUACUGUAGAAGUCUCUUUAUUCCACCUCCAACACUUAGAAAGAUAUAUCCGAAGUCUGUUACCCCUGGAUAUAGCAACGUUCACAGCUUCAACUGACACCAGCAAGUGCUCCAUCUAGAAUUCUUAAACCUAAACGAGUUGAUGUUGAUACCAUUUCAGUUUUAUUUGUGUAAUCAAUAUAAAUUGUUUACUCUUCUGACUUUUCUUUCUGAUGCCAUGUUACAAAUGCAGCUACACUCCAAGCACGUUAGAGAGAAAUUCAGACAAGAACCCUCAAAAACAAGUUAGAGUGAAUCAGAAGAUGAACGGCUCAGGCUUCACAGGCCUGAUACGCAGAUAUAUAUGCUCAGGAUUCCGCUUCAUAAUAUCACUGAGAUAGUCAUUCAAGUGCUACCCCUGCAAAAAAAAAUGGUAAUGAAGACCUCCCGCAAAAUCACAAACUGAUCUAUAAGACCUAAGGAGAACAACUUUCCUCCCAUCACAUCAACAUAAAGUGAUUUUUCACGGUCGAGGAGGUACAAUAAACCGUAAACGGGUGAAAAAUACUUGGAGGAGUUGUAGGAAGCAGCUACCUACAAUAGCUGUGAGCGCGAACAUAUUUAUUGGCUUGUUGGUCUUUGCAUCUCAGUAUAUCCAGUGAUAAAUUCCAGAAAGAGAGAAGAACGAUAAUUGAUGGGGUUGAUUUCCAACAUGUUCCCCUUAAUGAAUUUAAUGAAUACAAGCAGAACAUGCAGUCAAUAGUCUCCUUCAUUAAGGUCCUACUUCGCUCCCUCUGUAUCUACAAUUAUUUCAUUGUCCAGCAGUCACUCAUGAGAUGGUACGCAUGUGGUGUUGCAGUAUGCUUCUUGAUACCUCUAUCUCUUCUCUGACUAUAAUUUUGGUGUUGCAGUAUGCUUCUUGAUACCUCUAUCUCUUCUUGAUAGAAUAUGUAUAUAUAUUUGAUGGUUCUUUCUCCCAUGGUAGGAAUAAUAAAACUCUGGCAGAAAGGGCAAGAAUGGAUUACACUUUCUUACUACUCAAAAAUAAUUACACUUUCUUACUACUCAAAAUAUAUUAUGAAGCAAGGGCAAGAAAGAAUCGUUCCCACAGAGAGGUCUUAGGUUGCCACUA